CUCUCAGUUAAGGAAAGAGAAGAGAAGCCAGAUGUGGAGGUAGCGUCUGCCACUGCGGUGGGAUGGAGCAACCCUGUUGCAACACAGUACAUGAAGUAACCCAGGCAAGGUGAUGGAGAGAGAGUCCUGGUAUUACAUUUCCCAGAAAUCCAGCCACAUGCCUACAGUGGCCCAGGCGAGACGUUGGGGGUGUUGAAGCAUCUUCCUGCUCAGCAGACAGCUUGGAGCAGACACCUUGGGCCAAAGCUAGCUUGCCCACUCUGUGAGGGGGAAUUUGCUGGGGAGCUGCAAGGAGGUGACUUGCAGCAAGGCUGAAAAACCUACCAUAACUCCCUUGCAUCCUAUCACACAAUGCUACUUUUGGACCAGGCUCUUGCCAUUGCUUCCAGCCUCUUCCUUGCAGGCUGGACUUCUGCUCAGCAUAUGCCUAGAUGCCAAACAUAGAACUGCAGGGAAAUGCCAACAGCUUUCCUCAGGGGGCAAGAGAAUCCAGCUGAGAUGCGGGGAUGCCUGACCAACCUGCCAAAUGCUUGAUUGUCACAUGAGAUGUGUGACCUUUGGAAUCCCUGAAUAGCAUGCUGCACCCAAUUAACUUGUAUCACUUUAAUAAAUCAGGGUUGCUGUUGUUUUCAAUGUAAUGCUUCUUUUCUCUGGACC